GAGCAGUCUGCUGGGCAGAGCUGGAGCCAGCCCCUGCAGACCCUGUAGAGCCUGAGCCCAGGAGGCCUAGCUAGGGUCUGCUACAGGGCUCUGCCCCUCACAAGGCGGUUGCCAGGGAGCCUUGGCUCUUCAGCAAAAAUGGAUGGAGCAGCCACACGCUGGGGACGCAGUGACAAAUCCUACCACCAGCAGCCAGAAGAGAGAUCACAAGUAGGCAGAGAGAGAGGA